GUCGAACCCCGCCCAGACUUGCAUAGCUUCCCCUAGUCCCGCCUAAUCCCGCCUAAAAUGCUUUCCGAUUUUGUGGCCGCUUAGAAGUUAAUCGCGGCGGUCGGCCACCGUCCAGCUCCUAGGCCCGGACCAUGUUGAGCCCACCCAAAUAACCCGACGGGCCCCCGUCUCGAUUCGCUCUCGUGCUGGUCAAGUGUAAAACUGUAAAAACUCCAUGGAAGAGCUUCUGCGCGCCUUUUCAUCCUUUUGAGACAUUAUACUUAUCAAAAGAGCAGAGCAAUAUGGUUGCCACUUGCAAGUCUACACUCCCAAAACGCAGCGUUCUUCUCAUCUCUCUCCUUAAUCCUCACACUGGAUGACUGCAAAGGUUGGUACUGCAUCCACAGUCGAACCUCGCACUGCUGAGAUGUCUGGUACAACGAUGACACCUGCAUCAUCAGCUGGUACACAAAAGGUCUCCAUGUUUGCUGCCAAGGCUGGAUUUGUUAUACCAAAAAACAAGCUGUUGGGUUCACUUGUGCCUGUCUUUCGCGGAAGUAAAAACC
rnacentral:sRNA from 1 species